UGAUGACUGUUCUUCCUAUUGCCUUCAGGCCUGGCACUAGGAUAAAUUAAAAUUUGAUUUUCUUCACUCAGAGAAUAUUAGGAUAAUGGGAUUAUCUAUUUAUUGUCUGAAAUUUGCGGAAUCAAACACUU